rnacentral:rRNA from 1 species
GUGCCAGCAGCCGCGGUAAUACCGGCAGCCCGAGUGAUGGCCGAUCUUAUUGGGCCUAAAGCGUCCGUAGCUGGCUGCGCAAGUCCAUCGGAAAAUCCACCCGCCCAACGGGUGGGCGUCCGGUGGAAACUGCGUGGCUUGGGACCGGAAGGCGCGACGGGUACGUCCGGGGUAGGAGUGAAAUCCCGUAAUCCUGGACGGACUACCGAUGGGGAAACCACCUCAGGAGGAUGGACCCGACAGUGAGGGACGAAAGCUAGGGUCUCGAACCGGAUUAGAUACCCCAGUAGUCC